UCUUCGGGGGCAGAGUGGUAAUACGUCCGCUUCUUAUUUCCCAAAACAUCCCAGCUGUGCGGAAGUCGCCUGUUCGAACCAGGCCCGAGCCA